GCAUAGUGAUUUUUUAUUUGGUAUUAGUUGGAUCUAAAUUUGAUGUGAGUUUUAAAAUCACACUGAGUCCCU
ensembl:snoRNA